CGGCGGACGGGUGAGUAAUGUAUGGGGAUCUGCCUGAUGGCGGGGGAUAACUACUGGAAACGGUAGCUAAUACCGCAUAACGUCUACGGACCAAAGCGGGGGACCUCCGGGCCUCGCGCCAUCAGAUGAACCCAUAUGGGAUUAGCUAGUAGGUAAGGUAACGGCUUACCUAGGCGACGAUCCCUAGCUGGUCUGAGAGGAUGAUCAGCCACACUGGGACUGAGACACGGCCCAG
rnacentral:rRNA from 1 species